ensembl:misc_RNA Y_RNA Y RNA
GGCUGGUCCGAGUGCAGUGGUGUCUUACAACUAAUUGAUCACAGCCAGUUACAGAUUUCUUUGAUUGAUCACAGCCAGUUACAGAUUUCUUUGUUCCUUCUCCACUCCCACUGCUUCACUUGACUAGCCAAAA